rnacentral:tRNA from 4 species
GGGUCGUUAGCUCAGCUGGUAGAGCAGCGGACUCUUAAUCCGUAGGUCGAGCGUUCGAAUCGCUCACGACCCACCA